AGGACGAACGCUGGCAGCGUGCUUAACACAUGCAAGUCGAGCGACGCUCCUCCUUCGGGAGGAUGACGGAGCGGCGAACGGGUGAGUAACACGUGGGCAACCUGCCCCUAGCUCUGGGAUAAAGCCCGGGAAACCGGGUCUAAUACCGGAUACGAGACUGAGAGGCAUCUCUUGGUCUGGAAAGUUUUUCGGCUAGGGAUGGGCCCGCGGCCUAUCAGCUUGUUGGUGGGUAAUGGCCUACCAAGGCGACGACGGGUA
rnacentral:rRNA from 1 species